UACGUAGGUGGCGAACGUUGUCCGGAUUUACUGGGCGUAAAGCGCGCGCAGGCGGACCGAUAAGUCAGAGGUGAAAUCUCCCGGCUCAACUGGGAGGGGCCCUUUGAUACUGUCGGUCUUGAGAUGCCUAGAGGAGAGUGGAAUUCCCGGUGUAGUGGUGGAAUGCGUAGAUAUCAGGAGGAACACCGAUGGCGAAGGCAGCUCGCUGGGACGGUACUGACGCUGAGGCGCGAAAGCGUGGGAGCAAACAGG
rnacentral:rRNA from 1 species